UUACCGUAGGUGAACCUGCGGAAGGAUCAUUAUUGUAUAACCGAGGUGCGAGGGCUGUCGCUGACCCGAAAGGUCGUGCACGCCCGAGUGCCCUCACACACAUCCAUCUCACCCCUAUGUGCACCACCGCGUGGGUCCCCCUUUGGCUUGUUCGGAGGGGGGCUUACGUUUUCACACAAACUUUGUAUGCAGUGUAGAAUGUAUUUUUUGUUUUUGCGAUCACGCAAUCAAUACAACUUUCAACAACGGAUCUCUUGGCUCUC
rnacentral:misc_RNA from 1 species